rnacentral:sRNA from 1 species
GUCACGCCCGAAGUCGUUACCCCAACCGCAAGGAGGGGGAUGCCUAAGGUAGGACUGAUGACUGGGGUGAAGUCGUAACAAGGUAGCCGUACCGGAAGGUGUGGCUGGAUCACCUCCUUUUAGGGAGACCUAAUUCAAGUCAAAAGGCAAAAGUCAAAAGUCAAAAAUCAAGACAGAAGACAAAGAGCCAGACUUGAAAUCAUCCCAAGGUCGGUCGAGAUUGGUGGAAAUCUUUCAAAGUAUUAUUUUGCCUUAGUUUAAAAGUGAAAAAAAUUGAAUCAGAGUCAGCACCUAACAACUAUGGUUAGAAUGCUGGGUUAAAUUCCAGCCAGAACCUUGAAAACUGCAUAAGAGAAAGAGAAAAAGCAGGCAGACACAGACAUCGAGAUGGAUGUGAAAGCAAACAAGCAGAAAAUGUGGUCAAGCUAAUAAGGGCUAAUGGUGGAUACCUAGGCACACAGAGG